CCGCACAAGCGGSGGAGCAUGCGGAUUAAUUCGAUGCAACGCGAAGAACCUUACCAAGGCUUGACAUAUACGAGAACGGGCCAGAAAUGGUCAACUCUUUGGACACUCGUAAACAGGUGGUGCAUGGUUGUCGUCAGCUCGUGUCGUGAGAUGUUGGGUUAAGUCCCGCAACGAGCGCAACCCUCGUUCUAUGUUGCCAGCACGUAAUGGUGGGAACUCAUGGGAUACUGCCGGGGUCAACUCGGAGGAAGGUGGGGAUGACGUCAAAUCAUCAUGCCCCUUAUGUCUUGGGCUUCACGCAUGCUACAAUGGCCGGUACAAAGGGCUGCAAUACCGUGAGGUGGAGCGAAUCCCAAAAAGCCGGUCCCAGUUCGGAUUGAGGUCUGCAACUCGACCUCAUGAAGUCGGAGUCGCUAGUAAUCGCAGAUCAGCAACGCUGCGGUGAAUACGUUCCCGGGUCUUGUAC
rnacentral:rRNA from 1 species